rnacentral:rRNA from 1 species
UACAGAGGUCUCAAGCGUUGUUCGGAUUCAUUGGGCGUAAAGGGUGUGUAGGUGGCGCCGUAAGUCGGGUGUGAAAUUCGUAGCUAACUCCGAAACUGCAUUCGAUACUGCGUGCUUGAGGACUGGAGAGGAGACUGGAAUUACGGUGUAGCGGUGAAAUGCGUAGAUAUCGUAAGGAAGACCAGUGGCGAAGGCGGGUCUCUGGACAGUUCCUGACGCUGAGGCACGAAGGCCAGGGGAGCAAACGGG